CUCAGCUCUGUCAAACAAACAUUUCCAGAGAAAUGAAACUGAACAGAAAGACAACACCCUAAACUCUUGCCACUGUUCAGUCGGUUAGUCUGUGUAUCAACAUGGCAGAGGCAACUUUAGAAGAUAAGGAUUUGAUUACCUGUUCAAUCUGUCUGGACCUACUGAAGGAUCCAGUGACUACUGCCUGUGGACACAGUUACUGUAUGGGCUGUAUUAAUGACUGCUGGAAUCAGGAUGAUCUGAAAGGUAACUACAGCUGUCCCUUGUGCAUGGAAAGAUUCACCCCAAAACCUGUCCUGAAGAAAAACAUAUUACUGGCUGAAUUAGUGGAGAAACAGAAGAAGACAGGACUCAGAUCUACUCCUCCUGCUCUCUGUUAUGCUGUACCUGGAGAUGUGGAGUGUGACUUAUGCACUGGGAGAAAACUCAAAGCAAUCCAGUCCUGUCUGGUGUGUCUCGCCUCUUACUGUAAGACUCACCUCCAGCCUCACUAUGAUUCCCCUGCUUUUAAGAAGCACAAAAAGAAGCUUGUUGAAGCCUCCACACAACUACAGGAGAAGAUCUUCCCUCAUCAUGGCAGUCUGCUGGAUGAUUACUGCUGUACUCAUCAACAGUGUAUCUUUCUGCUGUUUGUGGUGGAUGAACAUAGAGGCCAUGAUACAGUUUCAGCAGAAAGGAGAAAGAAACAGAGGAGACCCGGCCAUCGCUAUGCAACCCAGGUCAUGAGGCCACAACAUUUUCAGUACAUGCAACUGACCAUGAAGCCCACCUUCCAGGCUGCAGCGCCUUGCAUGUGUUCCACUCAGCACACGGCCGGUCAGAACAUGGGCCUCUGCUUAUUUAUUAGUAUUAUUUUGUUUGUUUGGUUGUUUUUACUGUGAAGAGUUAAAUAGUAGAAUACAUAAGGCACCAUUUUGAAAUGUCGUAGUGUGCAGCAGUUUUCCUCGUUAUGUCAGUCACUGUCAGACCUAUGCAAGCUAUUUACUAGGCCUACCUGUCAGAAAUGUCCAGUUGAUCAAUUUAGUGACAGAGGCAGGACAAGCAGGGCCCGUGUGCAAAAUAUUUAUCACAGUGGGGGCACAACCAAAUCUUGCCAGGGGCCCCCAAGAAGCAGGCCAGUGGAACAGAAGCAAAUGCUGGGUGAGCGCCUCUUCCCGCUCAACCAGAAUAUGCACUCCAGCCUGACUGGAAAGAUUGACAUGUUGCUGGAGAGUCUCCAGAGUCUCUCCUCAUCCAGUUGGAUGAAGCCAUGGCAGUGCUGCAGAUUUACCAGAGAUGAAACUACUCAUCUGGUGUUCCAAUUGUCAUUAUAAGCCACUGAAUUGGGAACCUUGAAUCUCACUUGACUGAGGAAAAACAUAACAUUGAAAAAUAACUAAAACAUAAAACAAUGCACAUUUACUUUGCUUUCAUGAAUAACAUUUUUUUUAUAUAUUAGAUUUUAUAAAGUGGCGUUGAUGUAGGAUUAGGGGGCACUACUCCCUGGUCUAUAAAGCCAGGGUGAAGUUGCCUCUAGACACUGGUCUAUAAAGCCAGGGUGAAGUUGCCUCUAGACACUGGUCUAUAAAGCCAGGGUGAAGUUGCCUCUAGACACUGGUCUAUAAAGCCAGGGUGAAGUUGCCUCUAGACACUGGUCUAUGGUCAGUUGGUCAUUCGGUCAUUUGUCAGCAAAAGGCAGUAGGAUGACGUGUACCAUUGCACAGACCACAGACCCUUUAUCCAGAUCAUCUGUGAGUAUACUGAGACCUAUUUAGUGAUCAAGAAAUUGUGAGCUUCUGCUGGUGGGCCUUUUCUAUAUCCAGGGCAAGUUAAGGGUUGCGGUCGAAGUAUGGUUUAAGACUGAAUGUUAAAUCGUUUGGACUGUUGUUCUCUCUCCUCUCUCCCUCCCUCUCCCCACACCCCUCACGUAAAACUAUGAAAAUGUAAUAUUAUUUUAACAAACUCUACCAUUUUAUUCAUUGUAUAUGACAUGUCAUUGUGUAAAAUAAAUACAUGAAGUAUU